rnacentral:rRNA from 1 species
AGUCGAGCGGCAGCGCGGGGCAACCUGGCGGCGAGCGGCGAACGGGUGAGUAAUGCAUCGGAACAUGUCCAUGUCGUGGGGGAUAGCCCGGCGAAAGCCGGAUUAAUACCGCAUACGCCCGAGAGGGGAAAGUGGGGGACCGCAAGGCCUCACGCGAUUGGGUUGGCCGAUGUCCGAUUAGCUAGUUGGCGGGGUAAGAGCCCACCAAGGCGAUGAUCGGUAGCUGGUCUGAGAGGAUGAUCAGCCACACUGGGACUGAGACACGGCCCAGACUCCUACGGGAGGCAGCAGUGGGGAAUUUUGGACAAUGGGGGCAACCCUGAUCCAGCCAUUCCGCGUGAGUGAAGAAGGCCUUCGGGUUGUAAAGCUCUUUUGUCCGGAGCGAAAAGGUUACGGUGAAUAUCCGUGACUACUGACGGUACCGGAAGAAUAAGCACCGGCUAACUACGUGCCAGCAGCCGCGGUAAUACGUAGGGUGCGAGCGUUAAUCGGAAUUACUGGGCGUAAAGCGUGCGCAGGCGGUUUUGUAAGCCAGAUGUGAAAUCCCCGGGCUUAACCUGGGAAUGGCAUUUGGGACUGCAAGGCUGGAGUGUGGCAGAGGAGACUGGAAUUCCUGGUGUAGCAGUGAAAUGCGUAGAUAUCAGGAGGAAUACCGAUGGCGAAGGCAGGUCUCUGGGCUGACACUGACGCUCAUGCACGA